UACGUAGGGUGCGAGCGUUGUCCGGAAUUAUUGGGCGUAAAGAGCUCGUAGGCGGUCUGUCGCGUCGGUCGUGAAAACUUGGGGCUUAACCCUGAGCUUGCGGUCGAUACGGGCAUGACUGGAGUUCGGCAGGGGAGACUGGAAUUCCUGGUGUAGCGGUGGAAAUGCGCAGAUAUCAGGAGGAACACCGGUGGCGAAGGCGGGUCUCUGGGCCGAUACUGACGCUGAGGAGCGAAAGCGUGGGGAGCGAACAGG
rnacentral:rRNA from 1 species